AUUGACCGCUGCGGCAGGCUUACCACAUGCAAGUCGGACGGUAGCAGGAGAAAGCUUGCUUUCUUGCUGACGAGUGCGGACGGGUGAGUAAUGCUUGGGGAUCUGUCUUAUGGAGGGGGAUAACGACGGGAAACUGUCGCUAAUACCGCGUAGAGUCGGGAGACGAAAGUGCGGGACCUUAGGGCCGCAUGCCAUGAGAUGAGCCCAAGUGUGAUUAGGUAGUUGGUGGGGUAAAGGCCUACCAAGCCGACGAUCGCUAGCUGGUCUGAGAGGAUGGCCAGCCACACCGGGACUGAGACACGGCCCGGACUCCUACGGGAGGCAGCAGUGGGGAAUAUUGCGCAAUGGGGGCAACCCUGACGCAGCCAUGCCGCGUGAAUGAAGAAGGCCUUCGGGUUGUAAAGUUCUUUCGGUGAUGAGGAAGGUUGGUGUGUUAAUAGCAUGCCAACUUGACGUUAAAUACAGAAGAAGCACCGG
rnacentral:rRNA from 1 species